UUGAAUUAGUAAAUUUAAAAAAAAUUAUAUUUUAACUUGCAUUUCUUUUGACGUUCAUAUUUAUAUAAUUAGAUUACAACUAAGUUUGUGUAUGGCUUGUUUAUAUUAUUUCAGAAUUUGCUAUUUUAGACACUUGGUAUAAGCUGUCAUACUAAUUUGCUGUUUUAGACACGUGGCUUGUGAUAUCUCACUAAUUAGCUAUUUUAAACAUGUGACAAGUGUUAUGACACUGUUUUUAGAGACCUUAUUUUUUGCUCCUGAUAGAUGUUGAUGUACGUAAAUCGUAUAGAGUCUUUCAGUUAUCAGAUAAUGUCAAGAAUUGACAGCAUGGUAUCCGAUUUAAAGUGCGAACCUGUGUACGAGUAACAACAGUAUUCAAAACCAAAACCUAUUUAAACCAACCAAACCAAAACUAGCAACCAAAAACUAAUAUCUUGGCAUUGGUUUAUUUUUAACAUCUAUUAUAUAUAUGUGUGUGUUUUAUAUAAAUGUACUAGCUUGAGU
rnacentral:lncRNA from 1 species